CCUACGGGCGCGCAGCAGUGGGGAAUAUUGGACAAUGGGCGAAAGCCUGAUCCAGCCAUGCCGCGUGUGUGAAGAAGGCCUUCGGGUUGUAAAGCACUUUCAGUGGGGAAGAAAGCCUUGGGGCUAAUACCCUCGAGGAAGGACAUCACCCACAGAAGAAGCACCGGCUAACUCCGUGCCAGCAGCCGCGGUAAUACGGAGGGUGCGAGCGUUAAUCGGAAUUACUGGGCGUAAAGCGCGCGUAGGCGGUCUGAUAAGCCGGUUGUGAAAGCCCCGGGCUCAACCUGGGAACGGCAUCCGGAACUGUCAGGCUAGAGUGCAGGAGAGGAAGGUAGAAUUCCCGGUGUAGCGGUGAAAUGCGUAGAGAUCGGGAGGAAUACCAGUGGCGAAGGCGGCCUUCUGGACUGACACUGACGCUGAGGUGCGAAAGCGUGGGUAGCAAACAGGAUUAGAUACCCGGGUAGUC
rnacentral:rRNA from 1 species